UACGUAGGGGGCAAGCGUUUGUCCGGAUUUAUUGGGCGUAAAGAGCGUGUAGGCGGCUAGACAGGUCCGCUGUGAAAACUCGAGGCUCAACCUCGAGACGUCGGUGGAAACCGUCUGGCUAGAGUCCGGAAGAGGAGAGUGGAAUUCCCGGUGUAGCGGUGAAAUGCGCAGAUAUCGGGAAGAACACCCGUGGCGAAGGCGGCUCUCUGGGACGGUACUGACGCUGAGACGCGAAAGCGUGGGGAGCGAACAGG
rnacentral:rRNA from 1 species